rnacentral:rRNA from 1 species
AGGAUGAACGCUGGCGGCGUGCCUAAAACAUGCAAGUCAUACGGGCUACCUUCGGGUAGCCAGUGGCAAACGGGUGAGUAACACGUGAGCAACCUGCCCUUAGCUUCGGGAUAGCUCCGGGAAACCGGAAUUAAUACCGAAUAUGACUUUGGCUGACAUCAGCAGAAGUGGAAAGUUUUUCGGCUAGGGAUGGACUCGCGGCCUAUCAGCUAGUUGGUGAGGUAACGGCCCACCAAGGCGACGACGGGUAGCCGGCCUGAGAGGGCGACCGGCCACACUGGGACUGAGACACGGCCCAGACUCCUACGGGAGGCAGCAGUGGGGAAUAUUGCGCAAUGGGCGAAAGCCUGACGCAGCGACGCCGCGUGGGGGAUGAAUGCCUUCGGGUUGUAACCCUUUCAGCAGGGACGAAGCGAAAGUGACGGUACCUGCAGAAGAAGCGCCGGCUAACUACGUGCCAGCAGCCGC